rnacentral:rRNA from 1 species
CAGUAGCCGCGGGAAUACAGAGGGUGCGAGCGUUAAUCGGAUUUACUGGGCGUAAAGCGUGCGUAGGCGGCUAAUUGAGUCGGAUGUGAAAUCCCCGAGCUUAACUUGGGAAUUGCAUUCGAUACUGGUUAGCUAGAGUGUGGGAGAGGAUGGUAGAAUUCCAGGUGUAGCGGUGAAAUGCGUAGAGAUCUGGAGGAAUACCGAUGGCGAAGGCAGCCAUCUGGCCUAACACUGACGCUGAGGUACGAAAGCAUGGGGAGCAAACAGGAUUAGAGACCCGCGUAGUCCCUGUCUCUUAUAC